AGAAAAAAACCCUGCAUUCCUGCAGGGCCCUUCUAUAUCCCAUAGGGACAGAAGGCAAAGGGAGAGGAGAAACCGGAGGAAGAACUUAUGGGGAAACGUAAGUCUUCUCCGCGG
rfam:Bacillus infantis NRRL B-14911, complete genome.